AUAUUUUGUGGGCUGCAAUCAAUUGUGGGUUUUGGUUUUAAUAAAAACGGGUUGAUGUUGUUGUGAUCCAUUUGAUGAUGCUUAAGCCUGAUAAUUGUGAUCAGUAAUAAUGGGCUUNNNNNNNNNNNNNNNNCUUGAACACUAAUUCUGAUUUGUGUAGAAACAAAGUGUAGGCCCAACUCUAGAGUCCAUGAUGGGUGGUACUAGGGUUGUUAUCUUAUAAAUAGAUAGGCUAGGUCCCCUUUGCCGUCAUGUUGUCAAGCUAGCAAUAAGCUGAACGCUCAUUUGUUGUCUUCCCCAUCAAAGACUUCAAAGACUGGAGCAAGUGAUAGGCAAAGGAAGACCAUGUCUAGUAUAUGGAUGUUUUCGAUAUUGGUGCGCUUCCGGUAACGAUAGUUUGUGAUUAUGAUUAUCAAGUAAGUGUGUUCUAAUUUCAUAUAAUAUAU
rnacentral:lncRNA from 1 species